rnacentral:rRNA from 1 species
GUAGGAGCAAGCGUGUUCGGAAUUAUUGGGCGUAAAGAGCGCGUAGGCGGCCAGGGUAAGUCUGGUGUGAAAUCCCAACAGCUCAACUGUGGAACUGCAUUGGAAACUGCUUGGCUAGAGUGCGGGAGAGGAGAGUGGAAUUCCCAGUGUAGAGGUGAAAUUCGUAGAUAUUGGGAGGAACACCAGUGGCGAAGGCGGCUCUCUGGACCGCAACUGACGCUGAGGCGCGAAAGCUAGGGGAGCGAACGGGAUUAGAUAACCCCCGGUAGUCCUAGCCGUAAACGAUGGGCACUAGGUGUGGGAGGUAUCGACCCCUUCUGUGCCGUAGCUAACGCAUUAAGUGCCCCCGCCUGGGGAGUACGGUCGCAAAGACUA